rnacentral:rRNA from 1 species
AUUGAACGCUGGCGGCAGGCCUAACACAUGCAAGUCGAGCGAGCGGCGGACGGGUGAGUAAUGUCUGGGAAACUGCCUGAUGGAGGGGGAUAACUACUGGAAACGGUAGCUAAUACCGCAUACCAUCAGAUGUGCCCAGAUGGGAUUAGCUAGUAGGUGGGGUAACGGCUCACGUAGGCGACGAUCCCUAGCUGGUCUGAGAGGAUGACCAGCGACGCUGGAACGGAGACACGGUCCAGACUCGUACGUGAGGCAGCAGGGGGGAAGAUUGCACAAUGGGCGCAAGCCUGAUGCAGCCAUGCCGCGUGGGUGAAGAAGUCCGACGGGUUUUAAAGCACUUUCAGCGUGGAGGCGUUACCCGCAGAAGAAGCACCGGCUAACUCCGUGCCAGCAGCCGCGGUAAUUC